rnacentral:rRNA from 1 species
CCAAGUUUUUAAGGGCGCACGGUGGAUGCCUUGGCACCAGGAACCGAUGAAGGACGUGGGAGGCCACGAUAGUCCCCGGGGAGUCGUCAACCAGGCUUUGAUCCGGGGGUUUCCGAAUGGGGAAACCCGGCAGUCGUCAUGGGCUGUCACCCGCUGCUGAACACAUAGGCAGUGUGGAGGGAACGCGGGGAAGUGAAACAUCUCAGUACCCGCAGGAAGAGAAAACAACCGUGAUUCCGGGAGUAGUGGCGAGCGAAACCGGAUGAGGCCAAACCGUAUGCGUGUGAGACCCGGCAGGGGUUGCGUAUACGGGGUUGUGGGAUCUCUCUUUCACGGUCUGCCGGCUGUGAGACGAGUCAGAAACCGUUGAUGUAGGCGAAGGACAUGCGAAAGGUCCGGCGUAGAGGGUAAGACCCCCGUAGUCGAAACGUCAGCGGCUCGUUUGAGAGACACCCAAGUAGCACGGGGCCCGAGAAAUCCCGUGUGAAUCUGGCGGGACCACCCGCUAAGCCUAAAUAUUCCCUGGUGACCGAUAGCGGAUAGUACCGUGAGGGAAUGGUGAAAAGUACCCCGGGAGGGGAGUGAAAUAGUACCUGAAACCGUGUGCCUACAAGCCGUGGGAGCGUCGGAACAAGGCUUGCCUUGUUCUCGUGACUGCGUGCCUUUUGAAGAAUGAGCCUGCGAGUUUGCGGUGUGUUGCGAGGUUAACCCGGGUGGGGAAGCCGUAGCGAAAGCGAGUCCGAAUAGGGCGCUGUAGUAGCACGCUCAAGACCCGAAGCGGAGUGAUCUAGCCAUGGGCAGGUUGAAGCGGAGGUAAGACUUCGUGGAGGACCGAACCCACCAGGGUUGAAAACCUGGGGGAUGACCUGUGGUUAGGGGUGAAAGGCCAAUCAAACUCCGUGAUAGCUGGUUCUCCCCGAAAUGCAUUUAGGUGCAGCGUCGUGUGUUUCUUGCCGGAGGUAGAGCACUGGAUAGGCGAUGGGCCCUACCGGGUUACUGACCUUAGCCAAACUCCGAAUGCCGGUAAGUGAGAGCGCGGCAGUGAGACUGUGGGGGAUAAGCUCCAUGGUCGAGAGGGAAACAGCCCAGAGCAUCGACUAAGGCCCCUAAGCGUACGCUAAGUGGGAAAGGAUGUGGAGUCGCACAGACAACCAGGAGGUUGGCUUAGAAGCAGCCACCCUUGAAAGAGUGCGUAAUAGCUCACUGGUCUAGUGAUUCCGCGCCGACAAUGUAGCGGGGCUCAAGCGUACCGCCGAAGUCGUGUCAUUCACACAAUAGCCCCAACGGGUGUGUGGAUGGGUAGGGGAGCGUCGUCUGCCGGGUGAAGCAGCCGUGUAAGCGAGUUGUGGACGGUUGACGAGUGAGAAUGCAGGCAUGAGUAGCGAUUCACACGUGAGAAACGUGUGCGCCGAUUGACUAAGGGUUCCUGGGUCAAGCUGAUCUGCCCAGGGUAAGUCGGGACCUAAGGCGAGGCCGACAGGCGUAGUCGAUGGAUAACCGGUUGAUAUUCCGGUACCCGCUGUGAAGCGUCAAACAUCGAGCAUCGUGAUGCUAAGGCCGUGAAGCCGCCCCUGAUCUCUUCGGAGUGAGGGGGAGUGGUGGAGCCGCUGAACCAAGCGGUUAGUAGGUGAGUGAUGGGGUGACGCAGGAAGGUAGUCCAGCCCGGGCGGUGGUUGUCCCGGGGUAAGGGUGUAGCCCGUCAUCUAGGUAAAUCCGGAUGACAUGUGGGUGAGACCUGAUGCCGAGCCGAUUGUGGUGAAGUGGAUGAUCCUAUGCUGUCGAGAAAAGCCUCUAGCGAGUUUCAUGGCGGCCCGUACCCUAAACCGACUCAGGUGGUCAGGUAGAGAAUACCGAGGCGUUCGGGUGAACUAUGGUUAAGGAACUCGGCAAAAUGCCCCCGUAACUUCGGGAGAAGGGGGGCCACAUCUGGUGAUGAGCUUCGCGCUCUGAGCUGGGGGUGGCCGCAGAGACCAGCGAGAAGCGACUGUUUACUAAAAACACAGGUCCGUGCGAAGCCGUAAGGCGAUGUAUACGGACUGACGCCUGCCCGGUGCUGGAACGUUAAGGGGACCGGUUAGCUCCAUUUCGGUGGGGCGAAGCUGAGAACUUAAGCGCCAGUAAACGGCGGUGGUAACUAUAACCAUCCUAAGGUAGCGAAAUUCCUUGUCGGGUAAGUUCCGACCUGCACGAAUGGCGUAACGACUUCUCGACUGUCUCAACCAUAGGCCCGGUGAAAUUGCACUACGAGUAAAGAUGCUCGUUUCGCGCAGCAGGACGGAAAGACCCCGGGACCUUUACUACAGUUUGAUAUUGGUGUUCGGUUCGGCUUGUGUAGGAUAGCUGGGAGACUGUGAAGCGCUAACGCCAGUUAGUGUGGAGUCGUCGUUGAAAUACCAGUCUGGUCGUGCUGGAUGUCUAACCUGGGUCCGUGAUCCGGAUCAGGGACAGUGUCUGAUGGGUAGUUUAACUGGGGCGGUUGCCUCCUAAAGGGUAACGGAGGCGCCCAAAGGUUCCCUCAGCCUGGUUGGCAAUCAGGUGUUGAGUGUAAGUGCACAAGGGAGCUUGACUGUGAGACCGACGGGUCGAGCAGGGACGAAAGUCGGGACUAGUGAUCCGGCGGUGGCUUGUGGAAGCGCCGUCGCUCAACGGAUAAAAGGUACCCCGGGGAUAACAGGCUGAUCUUCCCCAAGAGUCCAUAUCGACGGGAUGGUUUGGCACCUCGAUGUCGGCUCGUCGCAUCCUGGGGCUGGAGUCGGUCCCAAGGGUUGGGCUGUUCGCCCAUUAAAGCGGUACGCGAGCUGGGUUUAGAACGUCGUGAGACAGUUCGGUCCCUAUCCGCUGUGCGCGUAGGAGUCUUGAGAAGGGCUGUCCCUAGUACGAGAGGACCGGGACGGACGAACCUCUGGUGUGCCAGUUGUUCUGCCAAGGGCAUGGCUGGUUGGCUACGUUCGGGAGGGAUAACCGCUGAAAGCAUCUAAGCGGGAAGCCUGCUUCGAGAUGAGGACUCCCACCCACUUGAUGGGGUAAGGCUCCCAGUAGACGACUGGGUUGAUAGGCCGGAUCUGGAAGCACGGUAACGUGUGGAGGUGACCGGUACUAAUAGGCCGAGGGCUUGUCCUC